AUGAUAUUCAUCACUGUGUGCCAGAUGGAUAAUAAACAGUGUUAAAAAGUAAACUAAGACACAAUAAAAUGUAAUUCUCUCUGCUCUGAAGAUAUGCCAAGACCAUAAGAAUCUAAAUGCCAUGGAACACCUGCAAACCAGGCAAGAAGGAAACAAAGAAUUCCAAAAGUCAGAAUUUUCUUCAUUCGCCUUUUUGCUGUGAAGUCUAUGCACGGGAAGAAACUAAAGGUCAAUCACACCAGUGGAAGUUCUAAAGAACUCUUUUCAUUGGCCUGGGGUCUUGGAAAAGGUGAGGGUUCCUCCCAGGUUAGAAUUCCCCUUCUUCCACACCCCUUCAGAUUCCAUGUUUGGGUCCCCUUCCACAAACACUCCCCUUGUGGAAACUGUCAUUCUCUCCCUUGGAUUUCCCUCCGGAGUCCCCUUCCAAGCUCUCUCGUGGAAGCCUGUCUUCCCCUCCUAAACUCCAUCUCUCUCUCUCUCUCUCUCUCUCUCUCUAUUCCCUUCCACUCUGUGGAAGCUGCUUUCCUCUCCUGGAUUCCAUCUGGCUGGAUUCUCUCACUCAGUGUGAGUCAGCUGUUUCUUUCUCUCUCCUUCUCCUGUUUCUCCCUCUCUUUAAAUAAAUCACUUUCUACAAA
rnacentral:lncRNA from 13 species